GACGGGGGGGGCAAGUGUUAUUCGUUGGUAUUUUGGUGUUAAGGAUACGUAGGCAGUUUUUGUUAGUUGAUUAUUAAAGCCAGUAAUUUUCAUAUUGGGUGUAAUCAUUACUUUAAAACUAUGUUGAGGAUUGGAGGAGUUUUUAGAACUUUCAGUGUAGAGGUAAAAUUCAAAGAAACUGAAAAGAAUGUUAAAGGCGAAGGCAGAUUUCUAGCCAAUUCUGACGCUGAGGAGCGAAAGCGUGGGGAGCAAACAGG
rnacentral:rRNA from 1 species